AGAUUGCCACAGUGUGCCUCCUGCUGCCUGCUGACCAUGGCAUGUUGUUGCUCCAGGGCUCUUCCUCUUUGGGUGUUUGUCUGAUAAGCGGUGGAUGUCUCUCCCGCUGUCUCUCAGCUCUUUCUUUGGUCUCAAGGCUGGGCAUCUACAAGUGUGCAGGCCUGUGUGUUGCAGCCCAACAAUUGCAUUGAUUGCAGUGAUCAAGGACAAUGUACCAUCAAGUUGACCCUGUUGCUUGCAUUCUCGACAGUGUUCACAUGUGGCUUCAUUUUCUACUAUGAGGUGAAUAACCAGGACAGUUCCCUUCCCCAUCAGUGAAUGGACCAAACCAAGUUUUCCUCCAUUGGUAGAAGAUGCAGAAAAAUUCAUUAUGUAAUCCUUCAUAUUCUAUGAUAUAACAUGCAAAAAUUUCUUAGCAAAAUACUUUAUAUACACUAUUGAUUCAAUCGUGCUAGCCCAGGUUGUCUCUACCUUGACGCUGAGAGAUAAAGAAAGAGAAAUUCAAGCAUACCUGGAUUCUAGUUUCUGGAAUGCCAAUUGCUUUUUUGAUUGAAAUACACUGUAUAAAUUGAAAGUGUUGUUGUUCAGUUGCUCAGUCAUGGCCAACUGUUUGCGACCCCAUGGACUGCAGCAUGCCAGGCUUCCCUGUCCUUUACCAUCUCCCAGAGCCUGCUCAAACUCAUGUCUAUUGUUUCAGUGAUGCCAUCCAACCAUCUCAUCUUCUGUUGUCUCUGUCUCCCACCAAACCUAAAUGUACAACAUAUUAAUUUGAUGCAUAUGUGUAUUGUAAUAUGAUUUCCAUUGUAGGGAUAAUUAGCACCUCUAUCAUAAAACUUAAUUUCUUUUUAGUGAAUGAAAUAUUACAUUCUAGUAUCUUAACAUACAAUAGAAUAUUGUUGUCUGUAUUCACUAUGUGAUGUAUUUGAUCUCUAGGACAUAUUUAUUACUUGUUGCAAGUUUGUACACUACAAAAUAUGUUCUAACUCCCCCCACCCCCCAACUGAUUCCCCUAGUAACUGUAUACUCUGUUUUUAUGAAUUUGGCUGUUUUUCAUUUCCAAGUGUAAGUGAUAUCUUAAGUAUUUGUCUUUCUCUGCCUGACUUAUGUCACUUAGUCUAAUGUCCUCAAGAUCCAUCCAUGUUGUUGCAAAUGUCAGGAUAUACUUCUUAUGGCUGAAUAAUAUUCCGUUGUGCGAAUGUGUAUAUCUCAUGUUUUUUAUCCAUUCAUUUGUUGAUGGGUACCUAGUUGUUUUUACAUCUGAGCUAUUAAGAAUAAUGCUAAAAAAACAUAGGAGUGCAUCUAUCUCUU